AUAGAAUGAGUAUUACAGUACUUAUGCCUUCCAUUUAACUUUGAUUUUACACACUUUGAAUUAAGACACAGCAUGUGACAGGAUGACACAAUUCAUUUGGGUCAGAGCCUAUGCCAGCUGACAGCCAUGGUGGAAGAUCAUGCCAGUGUUAAGACUGAACACAUAGCAGACCAUUUUGUGUGAUUCUGGGAAAGGUACUUCCCCUCUUUGGGCUUCCUUUUUUUCCAAUCUGUCAAGUCAGUAAAGAACACUGUGGAAGAAAAGUGACCUCUCAAUUUCUUAGCUACCCAUAUCAAAGUGAGCAUCCUGAGCAUCACAUCAACUUUAUCUGCCACUGAAGACUUCCUCAUUAAAUCCCUUACUUCCCCAUUCAGCAGCAUCAGAAGGAAUGAACAAAACAACUUCUUCAUCUACAAAGGAGUCCUCAAGAAAUCCUCCCAGGAACAAUGAGAAUUUGCUACAACCCAAGAGAACUGAUUCACAAAUAUCUCUGUACGAAUUCUCCACACUCCCUUCUCCAGUAAAAGAUCCUUGGGAGGAAGAUGAAGACGGCAAUCAUAAGAAACUAAAGAAAUUCUCUGCGUCAUCUAUAUUAUUAUUGUUCUUAGUUUUAUUGCUUCUAGUUUUUAUUAUUCUGAUUUUGAUAUUCCUAUAUUAAAUAUGAUCCUAUUCAUACUCAUCUGA